rnacentral:rRNA from 1 species
GAUCCUGGCUCAGGACGAACGCUGGCGGCGCGCCUAACACAUGCAAGUCGAACGAGAGAUGAGGAGCUUGCUCUUCAAAUCGAGUGGCGAACGGGUGAGUAACGCGUGAGGAACCUGCCUCAAAGAGGGGGACAACAGUUGGAAACGACUGCUAAUACCGCAUAAGCCCACGGCUCGGCAUCGAGCAGGGGGAAAAGGAGCAAUCCGCUUUGAGGAUGGCCUCGCGUCCGUAUUACGCUUAGG